AACGUAGGAGACGAGCGUUAUCCGGAUUUACUGGGUUUAAAGGGUGCGUAGGCGGGUUUUUAAGCGUGAGGUGAAAGCUCGGGGCUCAACCCCGGAACUGCCUCGCGAACUGGGAGCCUUGAAUGUCCGUGCCGUGGGAGGAAUGUGUGGUGUAGCGGUGAAAUGCAUAGAGAUCACACAGAACACCGAUUGCGAAGGCAUCUCACGAACGGAUGAUUGACGCUGAGGCACGAAAGCGUGGGGAUCAAAC
rnacentral:rRNA from 1 species